AAAUUUUUAUUCUUAAGAAUAUAUUUAAUUUAAAUUAAUUAAAAUUAAAAAAUUAUUUUUGGAGUAAUGUUAUUUAGAAAAAAUGAUUUAUUUAUAGAGUAUAGUAUGGACGGAGAUUGAUGAAAAAUAUGAAAAGUUUGUUUUGUAAUAGUAGUUGUAAAAUAACGUACCUUUUGUAUUAGGGUUUUACUAAUUAAAAUAAAUAUUUGUUUUUCCCGAAAUAUUGGGAUAUAUUAUAGAGAUUUUGUUAACGUAGUAUAGUUAUUUAAAACUUUAUAAUAGGUAAUGAUAAGUUAAUCGUUCUUUAUGAUAUCUGGUUAUUUGAUAAAAGAAUUUAAUUUAGUGGUGUUUUGUGGUUUAUUAUAAUUAUAUUAUUAAAUAGCUUUACGGCAUCAGCAAGUGGCUGAGGGAUAAUCUUUGGUUAUAAUGUUUUAAAAAGAAUUAUGCUUAAAAUUGGUUUAGGAUUGAUAGCUUUCAUCAUAAAAAAGCGUUUUAGCUUAUUUGUAUAAUAUGUGAUUUAGGUUAUUUUUAAAUAAUUAUCAAAUUAAUGAUAUUAAAAUAUUUAUGUUAUAAAAUUAUGUAAAAAUUAGUAUAAUAAUUGAUGUUUAGGUUUUAAGUUAUGAUAAUUUCAUUUAAGGAAUUCGGCAAAAAUUUUUCCACCUGUUUAUCAAAAACAUGGCCUUUUGGUCUUUAUAAAAGGUCUGGCCUGCCCACUGAUUUAUUGAAGGGCCGCGGUAUUUUGACCGUGCAAAGGUAGCAUAAUAAUUAGUCUUUUAAUUGAAGGCUGGAAUGAAAGGUUGAAUGAGAAAAAAACUGUCUUAAUAAAUAUAAUUAAAAUUUAAUUUUUGAGUGAAAAAGCUUAGGUAUUAAAUGGUUCCGUAGGACAAGAAGACCCUAUAGAUCUUAACAUAUACUUAAAUUUUAGUUUUAGAAAUAAUAGUUUAAGAUUUAUUAAUGUGUUUAGUUGGGGCGACGCAAAGAAAUGAUUAUCUCUUUGAUAUUUAUUUAUAUUUAUUUGUAUAAUUAUUUAUUUGAUCCAAAAUUUUUGAUUAUUAAAUCAAGUUACCUUAGGGAUAACAGCGUAAUCUCCUUUAAGAGUUCAAAUCGAUAAGGAGGGUUGCGACCUCGAUGUUGGAUUAAGAGUUCCUUAAAAUAGGUGCAGCCGCUGAUUAAGGAAGGUCUGUUCGACCUUUAAACUCUUACAUGAUCUGAGUUCAGACCGGCGUGAGCCAGGUUGGUUUAUAUCCUCGGAGAUAAAAUGGGCUUUUUAGUACGAAAGGACCAAAAGGCCAAAAAAUUUUUAGUGUAGUGAAUAUUAGUAA
rnacentral:rRNA from 1 species